rnacentral:tRNA from 1 species
AGGGGAGUAGUUUAAUGGUAAAACUUUAGUCUUCAAAACUGACAUUGCGGGCUCGAUUCCUGCCUCCCUU